rnacentral:lncRNA from 1 species
CUUGAACACCUCCUCCUCAGCAUCUAACAAAAUUGAAGCUCUAACCAUCGACCUCACGAUGUGUUGAAGUCCUAGGAUUUUUUGGUCGAGACGAAAAAGAAGUGCUCCUUCUAAUUAUGCACUGAGGAAGGAGCUCCUUGGAAGAGACAAUAUCCUCUCCGAGGAGAAAUGUACCACCACCCAACCUCUGUAGGAUGCUUUUUAGUAUGAAGCAAGCCUGGAGAAGGUAGAAGGUCAAUUCGACCCUGAGGAGAAGGUAGUGGACAAAGAAACCUAUGUCUGACGCCAUAAGUUCAGUAUAAUGCUACAGAAGCCUAUUCUAUAUAAAUUAAGAAAAUCCAUGAUGAGAAAGUGGAAGGGUAGCCGAAGAUCGGCCUUUAAGGAUUCCUCAUAAAUGCCUACUUGACCCUGACGAGGAAGAGCUAUCCGUUCUCUGGGAAUGACGACAUCCAACCUAAACUCGAUUGGAACUAGGUAUUUUAACCUAAUAUUCUCCAAGUCCUCAGGUGUGAGGACAGAGUCUACUCUAAAUAGGCCAAAAUCUGAAACUACAGGGCCACUCGAAGAACAAACAACAUCAGACUCAGGGUCCGCACUCCUAAUGUCGUCACCCAAGCUUCAAGUGGAAGGGGACGAGCUAGACUUACUCAUAGUU